UACGUAGGGUGCGAGCGUUUAAUCGGAAUUACUGGGCGUAAAGCGUGCGCAGGCGGCGCGUUAAGACAGGUGUGAAAGCCCCCGAGCUUAACUUUGGGGAAAUUGCGCUUGUGACUGGCGAGCUGGAGUGUGGCAGAGGGAGGUGGAAUUCCACGUGUAGCAGUGAAAUGCGUAGAUAUCGGAAGGAACAUCAGUGGCGAAAGCGACUUCCUGGACCAGUACCGACGUCAGGCACGAAAGCGUGGGGAGCAAACAGG
rnacentral:rRNA from 1 species